AACGAACGCUGGCGGCGUGGAUAAGACAUGCAAGUCGAGCGGGACACUUCGGGUAGCAAUAUUCGGAGUGUUCAGCGGCGCAAGGGUGCGUAACACGUGGGUAAUCUGCCGUGAAGCCUGGAAUAACUCGCUGAAAGGCGAGCUAAUACCGGAUGUGAAGUUUGGAAGGCAUCUUUUGGACUUCAAAGCUGGGGACCGUAAGGCCUGGCACUUCACGAUGAGCCCGCGGCCUAUCAGCUAGUUGGUGAGGUAACGGCUCACCAAGGCUAAGACGGGUAGCUGGUCUGAGAGGACGACCAGCCACACUGGAACUGAGACACGGUCCAGACACCUACGGGUGGCAGCAGUCGAGUAA
rnacentral:rRNA from 1 species